rnacentral:rRNA from 1 species
UACGUAGGGUGCGAGCGUUGUCCGGAUUUACUGGGCGUAAAGAGCUCGUAGGUGGCUUGUCGCGUCGUCUGUGAAAGUCUGGGGCUUAACUCCGGGUGUGCAGGCGAUACGGGCUGGCUUGAGUGCUGUAGGGGAGACUGGAAUUCCUGGUGUAGCGGUGGAAUGCGCAGAUAUCAGGAGGAACACCGAUGGCGAAGGCAGGUCUCUGGGCAGUCACUGACGCUGAGGAGCGAGAGCAUGGGUAGCAAACAGGAUUAGAUACCCUGGUAGUCCAUGCUGUAAACGGUGGGCGCUAGGUGUGGGGACUUUCCAUGGUUUCCGUGUCGUAGCUAACGCGUUAAGCGCCCCGCCUGGGGAGUACGGCCGCAAGGCUAAAACUCAAAGGAAUUGACGGGGGCCCGCACAAGCGGCGGAGCAUGUGGAUUAAUUCGAUGCAACGCGAAGAACCUUACCUGGGUUUGACAUGCACUAGAUGAGGCGAGAGAUCGUCUGUCCCUUUGUGGCUGGUGUGCAGGUGGUGCAUGGUUGUCGUCAGCUCGUGUCGUGAGAUGUUGGGUUAAGUCCCGCAACGAGCGUAACCCUUGUCUUAUGUUGCCAGCACGUUGUGGUGGGGACUCGUGAGAGACUGCCGGGGUGAACUCGGAGGAAGGUGGGGAUGACGUCAAAUCAUCAUGCCCCUUAUGUCCAGGGCUUCACACAUGCUACAAUGGCCGGUACAGUAGGUUGCGAGACCGUGAGGUGGAGCUAAUCCUUUAAAGCUGGUCGUAGUUCGGAUUGGGGUCUGCAACUCGACCCCAUGAAGUCGGAGUCGCUAGUAAUCGCAGAUCAGCAACGCUGCGGUGAAUACGUUCCCGGCC